CCUACAAAGGCGUGUCUGUGGGUCCCUGUCUUUGGACACGUAAGAAAUGUGGACUUGGAGAAGUCUGGAGCCAGCUUGCUCCCUGCAGCCUCAAAAUCAACCAUCCCACAGAG
ensembl:snoRNA